CCAUCCAUAUCGGAAAGUGUCAGAGCCAAAAAAAAUUAAUAUGCCGCAUGCGGCGGCAGCGGCAGCAGCAACAGACUUCAAUCCCCUGACUGCCAGAUGAAUAAAGCAGCAUGCUUCAUGCUUUUUAUGAAACUGAACGUUACAUAGCUGGAAUGAACUCUUUAUCUGUCUCUGUAUUCGCAUCUGGGAAGGCCAGCUAGACAACUUCCAUAGGGUCAACAACUAUUUUUAACUUCCAUAGAGUACUUGGAAUCAAAGACUUCACUGAAAAUGAUGGACGGGCUUUAGGGAGCCAGGAGGAAUUCUGAGACAUUUUAGACGUAUCACUACGUCCAUAUUGGUCGAGAUGUGCUGCUGUUGUCGGUAAAUUUAAGAACUUGGCAGCUGCUUAAUUGAGGAAUUUUUUUGAAGAGGUACCAGGCUCGAUGAAGGUAGCGCCAUCUAUAAGUUUGCUGAUGACCCCACUGUAGUAUGGAUGGAUAUCUAACAACGACAAAUCAAAGUACAGAAGGGGGAUAGAGGGCUUGGUGAUGUGGUGCAAUGAGAACAACCUCUCUCUCAACAUCAGCAAAACUAAAGAACUGAUCAUUGACCUCAGAAUAUAGGAGGAAAACACUCCCAUCUACAUCAGUGGAACUGAGGUUGAGAGGGUGGACAGUGUCCAGUUCCUUGGAGAGAUGAUAACCGACAACCUGGCCUGGACUUUCCAUGUAAAUGCAAUGGUAAAGAAGGCACAAUGAUGCCUCUUCUUCCUCAGGCGGCUCAGGUAAUUUGGCAUGUCCACAAGGACCCUCACCAACUUCUAUAGAUGCACAAUUGAAAGCAUACUGUUCGGGUUCAUAACGGCCUGGUAUGGCAACUGCUCUGACCAGGAAUCUUAAGAAACUACAGAAGGUGGUGUGCACAGCCCAGACCAUCAUGGAAGCUGACAUUCCAUCCAUGGACUCCACUUACACAGCUCGUUGCCGUGGAAAGGCUGCCAACAUCAUCAAAGACCCAUCGCACCCUGAUAAUGAUCUCCUACAACCUCUUCAGUGAGGUAGAGGAUACAGAAGCCUGAACAUGCAAGCAGAUUCAGGAACAGCUUCUUCCAGCUUUGUUAGACUGAUGAAUGGACUCUCUGGCCUCAGAAAAUGCUGCUCUUGCUAAUGUUGACCUCGCCUAGCACACACCCUAUGCAGUGUAACCUGUAUACCUCCGUCUAAUUCUUUUUGAUCUGUACAUCCUUGCUUAUUAUGAUCUGCCUGUACUGCUCAUAAACAAAGCUUUUCACUGUACUUCGGUACACGUGACAAUAAAUCAAUCAAUAAAUCACUGU